GCAGAUAUGGGGCAGAUGUGGGGUGUGGGGGUGGCAAAUACGAAGGGUAUGGGGGCAGAUAUAGGGGGUGCAGAUAUAGGGGGUGCAUUGCAGAUAUAGGGGGUGCAGAUAUAGGGGGUGGGGGGAGGGAGAUAUGGGGGGCAAGAUAUAUGGGGUGUGGGGGGGGGCAGAUAUGGGGGGAGAUAUGGGGUGGGGGGGCAGAUAUGGGGCAGAUGUGGGGUUGUGAGGGGGGCAGACAUGGGGGAGAUAUGGGGGUGGGGGGGUCACAUGGGGGAGGAGAUAUGGGGGUGGUGGGGUCAGAUGGGGGUCAGAUAUGGGGGUGGGGGGGAAAUAAGGGGGGGGCUAAAAUGGGAUUGGGGUCUCGAUUGGAUUGAGGAUUGGGAUUGGGGGGGGGGGCACAGACCCUAACCCCCCCCAUUCUAAAGGCAGUGAUGGAAUUCACUCGCCCCCCUGGAGCCCCCCCAAGAUGGAGGGGAGGAGCAGGAGCCCCCCCUCGAGAUGGUCCUACAUGAAGAGCUCAGUGACCCCCCAGCUGCCAUUGCGGACCCCAAAGAUGUCGCUGCUGCCAUUGGGAAAGCACGGAGUGCAGUGGGGGGGUGGGCCGCGCUCCCGGGGCGGCUCCGUGCUCGGGUGCUGAGGGGCGGAGCUUCGGAGCUGGGGGCGGAGCCAACAGCAGGAUGGGGGCGGAGCUACGGCGGUGGGCGGGGCGUGUGGAGAUGGGGGCAGGAGCCGUCAAGGUGGCGGGGACCAAUGGGAGAGGGGGAGGGAGUGGGGCGGGGGGGGCGGGGCUGGUGUGUGAUUGGAUGUGGGGGGGGGGGGAAGGGCGGGCUAAGGGGGUGGGGGCGGGGCUAAGGGAGUGGGUGGAGCCAAUGAAUGAAUGGGGGCGGGGCUUAUGGGAAGGGGUGUGGCCAGUGAA
rnacentral:lncRNA from 1 species